AUUGAACGCUGGCGGCAGGCCUAACACAUGCAAGUCGAGCGGAGCGGCGGAGGGGUGAGUAAUGCCUAGGAAUCUGCCUGGUAGUGGGGGCUAACGUCCGGAAACGGGCGCUACUACCGCAUCCUAUCAGAUGAGCCUAGGUCGGAUUAGCGAGUUGGUGGGGUAAAGGCCUACAACGGCGAAGAUCCGUAACUGGUCUGAUCGGAUGAUCAGUCAAACGGGAACGAAGACACGGUCCAGAGUCCUACGUGAGGCAGCAGAGGGGAAUAGUGGACAAUGGGCGAAAGCGUGAUCCAGCCAUGCCGCGUGUGUGAAGAAGGUCUUCGGAGUGUAAAGAACUUUAAGUUGGGAGGCGUUACCAAGAGAAUAAGCACCGGCGAACUCCGUGCCAGCAGCCGCGGUAAUAC
rnacentral:rRNA from 1 species